rnacentral:rRNA from 1 species
UACGAAGGGGGCUAGCGUUGCUCGGAAUCACUGGGCGUAAAGCGCACGUAGGCGGGUCGUUAAGUCGGGGGUGAAAUCCUGGAGCUCAACUCCAGAACUGCCUUCGAUACUGGCGAUCUUGAGUCUGGGAGAGGUGAGUGGAACUCCGAGUGUAGAGGUGAAAUUCGUAGAUAUUCGCAAGAACACCAGUGGCGAAGGCGGCUUACUGGUCCGGUUCUGACGCUGAGGCGCGAAAGCGUGGGGAGCAAACAGG